GACGAACGCUGGCGGCGUGCUUAACACAUGCAAGUCGUACGGUAAGGCCCUUUCGGGGGUCCACGAGUGGCGCACGGGGGCGUAACACGUGAGUAACCUUCCCACAAUGUUGGGAUAACGCUAGGAAACUGGGGCUAAUAAUGGAUAUGUGCUCCUGCUGCAUGGUGGGGGUUGGAAAGCUCUGGCGGUUUUGGAUGGACUCGCGGCCUAUCAGCUUGUUGGUGGGGUAGUGGCCUACCAAGGCGGCGACGGGUAGCCGGCCUGAGAGGGUGACCGGCCAUAUUGGGACUUAGAUACGGCCCAGGCGCCGAAGGGAGGCAGCAGUGGGGAAUAUUGCACAAUCGGCGCCAGGCGGAUGCAGAAACGCCGCGUGCGGGAUGACGGCCUUCGGGUUGUAAACCGGUUUCAGCAGGGAAGAAGGCUUUUGUGACGGUACCUGCAGAAGAAGCACCGGCUAACUACGUG
rnacentral:rRNA from 1 species